AUGUAUGUAUAUGUUAAUAUUUUAUUGAAACCAUUGAUGUCCCUCUUUGCAGAACUCAAACUAACUGGAGUUAAGGACACAGAAGUCUGCUUGUGUGAGGAGGUGGUUUUCUCAGCUUCUUCUGAAGAGAGGGAAAGAUCGUUUAAGAACUCAAACCAACUUUGGAGUUGUCUGAUUUGGAGAGUCAUUAUUCUUGGUCUUCGCUCUUAGAGGUAAAGUUCACACAAAAAAUCAUUUACUUGCCCUCAAGUCAUUCCAAACCUAUAAGACUUUUGUCUGCCUUUACAACAUAAAUUAAUAUAUUUUUAGUUUUCUCAUAAUAUUUGUUAAUCCAUUUAUAGUUUAGAUAAUCAGUAUUUUCAAGCUUCAUAAAUAUAGAGUUAUUGUAGAAGUAAAUUCUGAUAUUU
rnacentral:lncRNA from 1 species